UCAUUACCCCAAUUAAUGUAAUUUAAUUUUGCAGUUCUUUCAUACUGACGCUUUGAUUCAUGAGAUUUUGAUAAAAUGCUAUAAAAUUGAUGCUUAGGGUUAAUAUUUUUUCAAUUCUUUGAAAAUUAGGGGUUAUUCAAAGGUGUUGUCACUAAAAUGCUAUAACAGGUUUAUUCAAAGAUGUUGUCACUAAUUGAGGAUGACCUGAUUAAAAGGUCUUAUUACUAGAUUCAAUUUAAUAUGUGCAUUCCACAUGCUCGAUGAAAUGUCUGUGAGAGAAUUUGAGGUGAUUUUGGUACAUGUUUCAACAGUUUUUUAUGGAUGUAUGGUGCUUGCUAAUAUUUUAUUUGAUUACAGUUGUACAAGGACUAAUUUUUUUGAUUGAAGAUGACACACGCGUCUGUCUCCUCCUCAAUCGUUAGUCCAGUGUUUGCAAGGUGCAUUUCUUAGAUGAACAGUUUUGGAAUGUGAGUAUGAUUCCAGUUGUCAAUGUACAAACCCUAGGUUGUGGGGAGAUGACUUUGAUGAUUUCAGUUCAAUUGGAAGCCUUUCUAAUGACAAUAAUGUUUAGUUUCUUGAUCCAACUCUUAAUUUACCCUUGAUUUAAUUCUAUUUUCAAUUGUAUGAUUCAACUUUGUUUUCAGUGAUGCAAUAAAAGGGGAAGAGGUUGAAAUUGGAAAAGAAUACUGUUUGGUUUCGCACCAUACGAUUCUUCAAGACUUAAAAGUUCAUUCAUUCAGGUAUCAUGCUUCGAUUUUUAUUAAUCUGUUCACACAAAUUUAUUCUUCAAAUUCAAUUGGUUAGUUCCUAACGAUGGGCCAAUGGAUUGCUCCAUUUACCCGACUUGGGCUGCUAUCAUGCGGGCCCAACAGAUAAGGCCCAAAGAUAGUUUAACUUGCCCAUUAAGGUUUCCUUUACACAAAAAUGAGCGGGCAACGAGGAUUCAGAGAACGCAGGCAACAUUUAAUGCCUGAUAUGAAGAGGAUCUCGGCUGGCAUUGUACUUCUCUAGCGGAAAACAUUAAAUGAGGUCGCAAUCCUACCGUUGGGGGUCAGACACGUGUCUGAGCCCCCCGAAGACCCUCAAAACCCGUUAGAUCAUCUUAUUAAAAUAUCUCACAUCGGAGAUAAGGUUUCAUAGUUAUAUAAGAGAGAAGAGAGGUGAUCACAACGGACUCAAGGUAUUACACUAAUAACUCUCCCUCGUUUAUUCCGACAACAUUCUCCUACAUUAAAC